rnacentral:rRNA from 1 species
AUUGAACGCUAGCGGCAUGCCUUACACAUGCAAGUCGAACGGCAGCACGGGGCAACCUGGUGGCGAGUGGCGAACGGGUGAGUAAUGCAUCGGAACGUACCUUUCAGUGGGGGAUAACGUAGCGAAAGUUACGCUAAUACCGCAUAUUCUGUGAGCAGGAGAGCAGGGGAUCGCAAGACCUUGCGCUGAUUGAGCGGCCGAUGUCAGAUUAGCUAGUUGGUGAGGUAAAGGCUCACCAAGGCGACGAUCUGUAGCGGGUCUGAGAGGAUGAUCCGGCAAACUGGAACGGAGAAACGGUCCAGACUCCUACGGGAGGCAGCAGUGGGGAAUUUUGGACAAUGGGGGCAACCCUGAUCCAGCCAUGCCGCGUGAGUGAAGAAGGCCUUCGGGUUGUAAAGCUCUUUCGGCCGGGAAGAAAUCGCACGGGCUAAUACCCUGUGUGGAUGACGGUACCGGAAUAAGAAGCACCGGCUAACUACGUGCCAGCCGCCGCAGUAAAAC